UGUAGCUGAACCCGGUCUCUUAAUAGCUGUGCUGCCAGAAAGUCUAGGCAGCAGUCAGGAGGCGCCACCGUGACCAGAGCACCGGGCCUGGAGUCAGGAAGACGCCCUGCUCCACCCCAUGGGGAAGAAUGCAAGCUCCAGGAGGGCAGGGAUUCCUUCUCCACUAGCAGUAGGCUAGGCACUUAGUGUCUGCUGAACUGACCUGACCUGGCAGAUGCCACCAAGUCGGACAGGUUUCAUGCACAAGCACCCAGGCAGACUCCAGAUUUCUCACACAAGGACCAGCUACAUUCCAGGAGGCUCAUCACUAAGCUGGCUACUGGGCGAUGAGGGCUUCUGGCCAGAGCAACCUUUGGACACCAGCUAAGGACAUUUAGGGAUCUUUAUAAAAGAUGCCCAGAAAAGAACAGAGAGAGACAGCAAGAGAGAAGCAUCGACAAGCAGGACAGUUUUGAAAACUACCAGGUGAACCUC